rnacentral:misc_RNA from 1 species
CAAAUCUUGGGAAAAGAUCUUUUAUAAAAACCCAAAAGGCCAAAGGAAAACAACUAGGUGGAUGCAGAGAAAAUAAAAGAAAAUUGGAUGUCCACAAUGAAAUAGUUGUUCACUCUGAUUCUAAAAUAGUGCUGCAUAAUACAAAACUGAAUAAGAAGACAACACCAGAAGCUGAAAUGAAUAUUAGAAAGAAUCUAGUUAGCAAGUUUGAUGAACAGUCUAAUAUAGCAA